rnacentral:sRNA from 1 species
GCUGGGCACAGUAGCGCAUGCCUGUAAUCCCAACAGAUUGGGAGGCUGAGGCAGGAGGAUUGCAAGUUCAAAACCAGCCUCAC